UGUAAACCUUUAACGUUGGUGAAACCAAAGUGACGCAUUGUUAAAGGAACAAGAUUUGAAGAUGCUGAAACUUGUCCUUGCCCUUGCUCUCUUGACCCUUGUCGCAUGUGCCCCAGGAGACAAUGAGUGGGCAAAGUUCAAGUCCUCAUUUAAAAAGUUGUACAAGACGUCAUCUGAAGAGGUCAAAAGACGAAAAAUCUAUGACUCGAACGUUGGUUUCAUUAACUCUCACAACGAACGCUAUAAACUUGGACUGGAAACUUAUUCGCUAGGUGAAAA
rnacentral:sRNA from 1 species